AAUACAUUAUAUUUGUAACUUUUUACCUUCUAAAUUGGUUCUUCAUCUUCCUGUUUUGUGAGCUAUCCUCUGCGUUGGUUCAAGAAAAUUUCAGGCAGAGACGAUUUAUAUUUGACUCGAGUAUUUUUCUCAUACGUGGAGGCGAUUCAGGAAGAACCAGUAUGUCAAAGAGAUUAAGACACUUUGAUUGGAAACAAGUUAUCCCGGAUUAGCUAUCUCGAGGUAAGUUAUUCCACCAUAUAUACGGGAUAAUUUAUUUCAUUAUUAUGGCAUAAAUGGUGAGAUAAAUAAUCUCGAGUCUAACUAAUACCCCAAACCAAACACAUGAUAAAAUAAUCCUAAAUUUUUUUUUCGAAACUAUUAUACCUUAUACCUCAGGCCAAAUGACUAGAAGAUUUUGAUGCUAUAUGCUUAUGCCUUUGAUAAUAUUGCAAUCUCCAAAGUCGUAAUUUGCAGGCAAACAGGGAGUUUGCAGGAAAAAGAAGCUAUGAAAGGUAAGCGCAUUCACGGUGAUAAAAUGAUGUUAUCACUUUUUGUUGUUAGGCAUUGGCAGCCAUUGAAUUUCAUCAUCUUUAGUUGUUGUUAUAGAGUUUUUCCUCUGCCUACAAAUUCUUGUAUUCCAAGGUCAAAUUUUUAGAUGGCUGGUGACAUGGUUUGAAAGUCAAAAACUUUAGACUAAAGCUUUAUCUUUUUGCUUUAUUUACCUAUGAAGAUGGCUUUCUAGAUUCAUAUACCAUCUCUUUCGAAUUUAGUAUAUUGUUGCAAGUGUUCAAUUAAAUCCUCGACUAUAUUAACUCUGUAAUCUGUGAAGAUGAGAAGAUACGUAGAAUAUAUGAGUUCACAACGCUAAGCAUGUAUUCAGUGAGACCUUUUGAACUAUAUUAUAAGCUAGCUCUUUGUUCGUAAUUGUGACUUACAGUUUAAUAGCUUCUUUCUGAUAUGUUGUUCCAUAACAGAAUCUGAACAGGAAUGCUUGAAAAGCACUUCUAGUAUUGAUUCUAUUUUUUCGAGGAAAAAUAGUAUCUCAUACAUCAAAAAGUUUAUGUAAAGGAAAGGCUUGAUGAUUUUCAAUAUGAUAUUUUGUUUCACCUCUUGAACAAAAUAUUCUAGGAAAUGACCUUCAAGACAAAAAGAUCCAACUCAUUGAUGGCUAAUAUUAUUUGUCUUAUCUUAGUAUGGCUUAUAAGAUGCAUUUGACCUUCUGAAUCAAUUACUAUCUUACAAGCAUAUUGCCAGUACUAACUUAGUUACAAAUUUUUUAUUUUUUUUUAAUCAUAUGACUAAGUAGAGACCCAAAAUAUUGCAAAUACAGAUUAUACAUAGACCUGCUGUUGGAAUUAUUAGGAUUCAGCUAAAAUGUUGCACUUCCACUUUCACUUUCACUUUCAUUCCUUUAAUUUUUGUAUCUUUGGUAUCUGGCCUUUGAUAUUUAUGCUUCUGUGGGUUUGAUCUGUUGUUUUGAGUGGUGCAGACUUUUAAAAUUUUGAAUUUAGGUACUACUUGAAAUUUUCAGAGAUCGAUAGAUACUUCAUAAGGUUGAAUACUAAAGAUUGUGUGAAAGUUAUCUAGCUAGCCAUUUUAUUCUAAGGUUCAUUGCUCGAUUUUUCAACAAGCUCUGCUCUCAAAAUACAGAGACUUGUGGAGGCAGGUUCGAAUGUGUUGAUCCGAAAAGCCAUGUGAGAGGCAAAAUUGGUUCUCUAAAAGUAAUGUGAGAGGCUAUUAUUGUAGAACAACAAUUUUGUAUUUGAUAUCGAUUCAUCAACACUUUCAUUUCUUGUAAAGGAAGUCUAACUAGCUAGGGGCUUUGAGCUGUAGGUGACAAAAGAGUUUUAAAAUGAGGUGUAGGUGACUUUUUUUUUUUAAUUUAAUUUGUUCUUUUAUAAUAAUUAAAUCACAAUAAUGGACCAACCCAUUAUACAAUUAAACAUUGUAGUCCAAUUUAUCUGACCCGGCCCAACCCGGAUCCAAUAUUGGCAACAAAUAUAAUCAGUGAAUUCCCUAAAAUAGAUAACUUUCCUAAUCCCUAAAUCAUUCACGCCGCCUUUCACUAUUUUACUCUCUUUCUUCGAAUCUGGUUCAAUUGUUACUAUGGAGCUUCUUGUCGACGCUUCUCCUUUAGAUUCACCUUCCGCUAGUAAGUAAUUCCUCCUUUAUUUUGAUGUCUCAGCUUAGUAUAACUAGGAAAUUGAUGCUACUUCUUUUGUUUCUGCUUCCUCCGGUGUAUGAGACUCAAAACAACAUUUUUAGCAUCUCUGAUGGCUCUAUUCAACAAGGUUAAGCUGUUACUUCCAGAUCUGGACACCUUGACGAUAAGGGAAGCCUGGAUUUCAAAGAAUGUAUGUUCUGCUUUACAAUCAGGUUUCCAAUAGCUUAUCUGAAAUAGCUAAAGGAGAGAUCCCUUCAAGCACCAUCAUGUCAUCUGUUUCUCCAUGCCACAACUGCAUUUACUUCUCUUCUUCAUCCUUCUUCAAACCUUUAUUGGUACCAUCCUUCAGUUUCUCUAUUAUGUUUUGAGUACUCUCAUCCUGUUGAAUAUCCCUUUGCUGAUUCAUUUUUCCCUUGCCACUCCUGUUAGUUGUUGGCUUCCCUUUUUCCACUUCUGGAGUCUUUCCAAAACUUUGGUUAACCCAAUCUUUAGUACUGACUUUUUGCUACUUUUGCUUGGUCUUCUUUCUGUUUCUCUAGGUCUGCAAUUGUUGAGUCAGUCACUUUUUCUUGAUCUUCUUUGUCCUUUAAGGUAUUAAAAGAAGUGGACAUUUUAAUAUCCUCAUCAUUAUUUUCAUUUACCUCUCCUAUAAUUCGACCAGACCUAUCUUUUCUGAAUUUAUUCUUCCUUAUAAGCCACUGAUACUUAUUGUUGUUUUAUCUUCUGAAGUUAUUCUGAUGCUGAGGUUGCUAAUUCUUUUGUUCACCAAAAUCCUUAUUCUUAGUAUUUUCUUCUGUCUUCUUACUCUCCUUCUUUUCAAAUAAUUUCGGGUGAAUUUUCCAAUAACCUCCCUCAUCAUGUCCUUGUAAACAAUAAUCUUGGAAAUACUUAAGCAUAUAAUCAUACUGAAUCUUUAUCCACUUAGACUUUAUUUCCCAAGUAAGAUCAUUCUCUUCAUUUAUUUGUAUCCUUUGUGGCAAUACUUUAACUCUUGCACAACUAGGCCUAGUGUGAAUUUUAGUAGCCAUAUCCACUGUGAGUGGCCUUUCUACUGCUAUUACUAUUGAGAAAAUUACGUCUUUUGCAAAGAAAUUUAGAGGAAGAUCUAGCAUGUAAAUCUAUGCUACUGCUAUUAAAGUUUCAACAUCAGCCUCAAACCAUGGAUCCCACUUCAGAGUUCUCAUUUGGUAAUAUCUCUCCCUCGAAUUGAUGUAAAAGGCUGUUGUCGAUAAUAAUUGAACAUAAUCUUCUAGCAUAUCUAGCCUUAUUAAUACAUGUCUUUCAUCCAACACGCCUAUAGUACAUUGAACUUUGAUUCCACGCUGAUUUGGAAUCCUUUUUCUCAGUACUUCGAUGUGAGGCUUGCCAUACAAAAAUUUACCUAUAAUUGCAUAUUGAAGUUUUUCUUGUAUGAUUAAGUUUUGAACUUCGGAUGAUUUUCACGUAAUAUUAGGUUCCCCAUGCAACAUUACUAUGGGUUUCGGAGGAAUCCUAAUACUAGAAUUAUCCACUAUUUUUGGCUUCAACAGAUCUACAAACUUAGGAAUAUUAGUCAUCUUUUGCUACUCUUUUAUUAUCUCCUCUACACUAUACUUAUUAAUGUCGUUCGGUGGGAUAGUCCCAUCGGCUAAAGUGGCCAUAUUGGCCAUAAAACUACAAUUUUAAAUAUUGAUGACGAGUAUGGUUUGUAAGGAUGACGGCUAGAGGUAUAGGUGACACAAGUCUUAAUAAUUGAGUGGAGGUGACAAUUACUUUAUUAUGAAUUAAGAAAGUUGGGUAAGUUUGAGAAUAACCCAGAAGUUUUUAAAUUUAUAUUUUGA